rnacentral:rRNA from 1 species
UUUGUGGAGGGUUUGAUCCUGGCUCAGGGUGAACGCUGGCGGCGUGCUUAACACAUGCAAGUCGAGCGGGGAAACUCCCUUCGGGGAGGAGUACCAGCGGCGAACGGGUGAGUAACACGU